UACGUAGGGGGCUAGCGUUGUCCGGAAUCAUUGGGCGUAAAGCGCGUGUAGGCGGCCCGGUAAGUCCGCUGUGAAAGUCGGGGGCUCAACCCUCGGAUGCCGGUGGAUACUGUCGGGCUAGAGUGCGGAAGGGGCUACUGGAAUUCUCGGUGUAGCGGUGAAAUGCGUAGAUAUCGAGAGGAACACCUGCGGCGAAGGCGGGUAGCUGGGCCGACACUGACGCUGAGGCGCGAAAGCCAGGGGAGCGAACGGG
rnacentral:rRNA from 1 species